rnacentral:rRNA from 1 species
GAUGAGCGCUAGCUACAGGCUUAACACAUGCAAGUCGAGGGGCAGCGGGGAUCUAGCUUGCUAGAUUUGCCGGCGACCGGCGCACGGGCGAGUAACACGUAUCCAACCUGGCCCAUACUCGGGUAUAGCCUCUCGAAAGGGAGAUUAAUCCCCGAUGUUGUUGUUUCACCGCAUGGUGUUGCAACCAAAGAAUUUCGGUAUGGGAUGGGGAUGCGUUCCAUUAGCUUGUUGGCGGGGUAACGGCCCACCAAGGCGACGAUGGAUAGGGGUUCUGAGAGGAAGGUCCCCCACACUGGAACUGAGACACGGUCCAGACUCCUACGGGAGGCAGCAGUGAGGAAUAUUGGUCAAUGGGCGAGAGCCUGAACCAGCCAAGUAGCGUGAAGGAUGACUGCCCUACGGGUUGUAAACUUCUUUUGUUUGGAAAUAAAGUUCAGCACGUGUGCUGUUUUGUAUGUACCAUUCGAAUAAGCAUCGGCUAAUUCCGUGCCAGCAGCCGCGGUAAAAC